CUAAAAUCGGUCCAGAGACAGAAGCAACGAAACUCUCAUCUCGAACGCAUCGAGUCGGUGUGAAGAACAGAGAAGUGCCCAAAAUCGGUCCUCUAUAGCUAGAAAUCCCAAAUCGAAACCCUAAAACGGUCCUCUCUAGCUAGAAAUCUGUCUAGAUAAUAGAAAUCCCUCAAAAAUCUCACCCAAAUCGAAAUCCCUCAAAUCAGAAUGUGAAUUCGAUUGGGUGUUUAUGAUACUUGCCGAAAAAUUCAUUUUGAAGCUAAAUCUUAAGAUUGGAAGUUGGUUUGACGAGUUUUGGUUUGAAUUUGUGAAUCGAGUUGUGCGAAGAAGAAGACCACAAGGGUCUUUCGAUUCAAAGCUUCUUCAACUUCAAGUAUUCAAGAACUUGUACACAAUUGCGGAAGUCGGCAAAGGGCAAAAUAAUAUAGAAGUGAAAUUUUAACAACUCAGAGAAAUUCUAUUACUGGAGAAUCGGACACACCAGAUAAAGUUUGGGAGAUCCAACAUACACCCAAGGAUGAUAGAGGCAAACUGGUGUGGUUGGAUUCACAAUCCCAACAAAUUCAUGGUCAACUCCAGGAAGUUGUCGCUCAGCAACAAUCUAAGGAGAUCGAGCAUCCCAUGACUAGAGAUGAGAUUUUAUCCUCCGUUGUUGGUGAGAGAACAUGCUAUGUUCGUGGAAAAGGAUACGGAAAGAAGCCUCCUAAAAAGAGUAACACUCAGCAGGCAAACACAGAGGCCAGCGUGUGCGUCAGGAGAUGCAAGCCGAGAUGGAUAGGAAGUUGCAAGAAGAACGUGAACAAAUGGUUGCUGAGUUGCGAAGAAAUAUGGAAAUUGAGUUGGAAAGGAAGUUGGUAGAGGAGCGUCAACACGCAAAUGAGGAGCGUCAACACGCAAAUGCAGAAACAGACAAGAGGAUCUGUCUAGAAGUGGAGAAGAAGAUGCACGAACAAUUUGCUAGUUUCUUGACCAGAAUGCAACAACAACAGAGUGGCAGAUCAAGAUGGAGUAUGGGGCUUGCAUUACAAUAUCUGCAAUGAGUAACAUCAGUGCAGGAAUUGUUCCUUCUCACCUAUGUUGUGAUUUGUGUGGAUAUUGUCAUCUAGCUGUUAAUUUUUUCUAAAGUGGCGUUAUGAAUGAUUUGUGCGCUGCUGACUGCUAAUUGAUAAAAGUUAAUUUGGAAAUUACCCUGUGGGUUUUAGUAGUCUUUGUGAAGUUUCAGUUAGAAAUAGAACAUCAAAAAUCUUCUUUGUAUUCUUUGUUUAUCAUUUUUGGAAUUGGAACAUUCCGUGUGUUAAAAGAAGAACGCAGCUUGGCAUGCAAAAGUGAGUUGGAUAUUUGUGUUGCCAUUGCUCCAGCUUUAAUCCAGUUGAUUUAAUAGGUGUAUGAUGUUUUGUUGGGA